rnacentral:lncRNA from 1 species
GAGCACCAAAAAGAACAAAACGACAGGGAAGGAACAAAAGAAGACUCAAAACAGCAAAAACAAAGCUUUGGCAACAAUAUGAUAGAUAAUACUCAAAGUCUUGAUCAAGAUACAAUCAUUCACAAACCACUAACUAUGCUCUUGCUCAGAAAAUUAUGCCAUGUUAUUCAUUCAAGUCAAAAUUGUGCAAAUUCAAUCCUGCCUCACCAAGUUCACUCAAUUUCUCUCAAAAGACAAAUAUGGACAGAAUAGAUUCACACAAUUCACAACUUCAUGCCUUCAAACACAGCUUGCCGUUAUGUCACUAUCUCCACCAAAAUAUGGAACCAAUGCACAAAUCAAAAGGUCUUGCACUUUGGUUGUAAUGGGGCUAGGGUACGUACAGGUGGGAUAAACAAGGAAAAGGGAUCAAAAAGGCUCAAUAUAUGACUGAAAACAUGCAACACACCAGACCUUCCAUCAAUAAAACUCUAGAGUAGCUCCUCAACAUAUCCACAAUCCUCAAAAAGUAUGCAUCAACUCUAACAUAUACAUAUAGGACAUAAACAUGAAUGAAUGUAUACACAAUAAACCCUUUCUUUUCUUUGAACUUUUUUUUUUCUAUUAUUAUUAUUAUUUUUUUUUCAACAACAUAUAUUCUCAAUAAAUCAAUGAAUCAUGAACAACACAUUAACAUGAUAGGAGUAUUCAUCUCGUCAUAACCUAGUGCAUUUACAUGUUUUCAAAGGACAAAAGCAGGUUGAAAUAGGCUUAGGCUCAAUAUAUGUGGCUUUUAAUCAAACAAAACAGGAGCAAAUUAGGAACAAACGGCUCACUAAGGGAAUAGUGAAGGUUCGGAUAAUAUGUUCAGGCCAAAAUAAUGGUUAUUCCUAAAUGCCUUAAUCAUUUUCAUGCAUUAAGUUCUCAAACUCAGUCUUGACUAUGGCAACAGGGCAAAC